GUAAAAGAACUUAAUGUUUAAAGACAUUUGGGUUCUUAUUAGAGAUUAAAAAGUACAACCAGGCAAAUCUCUGAAGAGUAGAAUCAGCUCAGUGGCUCGAUACGUGGAAAAAUGAGACAACUGCGGGUUAUUUUUCAUCUGAUAUAUGUGAGCUUUUAUCAGUUUCACCCCAAAAACUGUAUAUCCAUCUAUCUUUUUGUUUUGAGCUGUGCCUUUCUGCUGUAUAAAUAUAAAAAGUGCAUAUAUUAAAAUUUUCCCCUACAGUGUAUUAACCUCAACCAGUAAGCAUAUAUAUUACAGAUACUGCUGAAAUGAACCUUUAAGUUUCACUAAAACUUUUAGUCUCUUUAGAUUCUGGGCAGCUUUUAUUUAAUUUAAAACAUUUUUAGUUGAAAUUACAAAUCAGAUUUUGUUUAUUUAUCGUACACAUUAUGUGUGGAUCACAACAAUACGCUCUGGUGAAGAGUUUAUCAAACGUGAUUCAAUCUGUCUUGUUUGUGUUGUUAGUGAUUCCUUUACAGAUGUAUCUGUAUAUUCAAUGUUUAGCCACGGUAACUGGAGCCAUGUUUUGUACACUGUUAAUUAAAUUCAUGUGGUUUUGUAUUCUUUUUGCUCUUAUGUUUUGGGUGUUUCCCACCUUUUCUGAAAUAAUUAACUAUUAUUUACACUAAGUAAGAUAGAAUAGAUUUGGCAGAGAAACAAUUAGUUUUUAGAUUUAAUAGUAGUAUAAGAAUUUUCUGAAGUUUUUGUAGGUUGAAAUAAAAAAGGGAAAAGAUGGACACAUUUCUAGAGGACUUUUUAUAGUGAGACACCUCCUGAGGAAGAAGGGAGAAGACUGGACCUGGAAGAUUUCUCCAUUCAUCAUCUAAUCCAACUUAAACGUGCAGCAUCACGGAAAGGCGGACAGGUUCCACGCCUGGGAUAUGGCAACACAAACAGGACAAACAACAAAGCUAAACAGGAGGACGACAAUCUUUGGAAUAUCGCCUGAACAGAUGUGAAAGAUUUCUAAGGCAGAGCCCCACAACCCUAGAUCUAUUGGAAACAUAUUUAGUCCAAAGACAGAUGGAGACACAUCAUUCAAAGACGUCCCUGUCCUCUGAAGCUAUGAGCCGAGACUCCCCGUGAUGCAAAGUGAAGAACGAUUCUGGUUUCAGUCCCUUCUGUUUCAAGGCCUCUCUGAGACGAACUGGAGGCUCCAGAGACUCCAGCAUGGGAUGGCGAUGCUUCUGCGUUUAAUUUUCUCACCGUUAUGUUCAGCUGCUAAAGAUAAAACCCCCAGACUUAAGGCAAGGGCGAAGGUCCCCCAGUGUAUGGCGACAGACUGUUUAGCCUGAAGGUCCUGAUGAAUUUGAACAGCCUCCUCUGGAUCCACAUGCUGCCCCUGCAUCACAUCCCUGAAACACCAACAGGAAUCCUGCUUAAUAUUCUGUUUGAAAUAAAAUGCUAAAACU